rnacentral:rRNA from 1 species
GAUGAACGCUAGCGGCAGGCCUAACACAUGCAAGUCGAGGGGCAUCACGAGGUAGCAAUACUUUGGUGGCGACCGGCGCACGGGUGCGUAACGCGUAUGUAACCUACCUAUAACAGGGGCAUAACACUGAGAAAUUGGUACUAAUUCCCCAUAAUAUUCGGAGAGGCAUCUCUCCGGGUUGAAAACUCCGGUGGUUAUAGAUGGACAUGCGUUGUAUUAGCUAGUUGGUGAGGUAACGGCUCACCAAGGCAACGAUACAUAGGGGGACUGAGAGGUUAACCCCCCACACUGGUACUGAGACACGGACCAGACUCCUACGGGAGGCAGCAGUGAGGAAUAUUGGUCAAUGGACGCAAGUCUGAACCAGCCAUGCCGCGUGCAGGAAGACGGCUCUAUGAGUUGUAAACUGCUUUUGUACGAGGGUAAACUCACCUACGUGUAGGUGACUGAAAGUAUCGUACGAAUAAGGAU